CCUACGGGUGGCAGCAGUGGGGAAUAUUGCACAAUGGGGGAAACCCUGAUGCAGCGACGCCGCGUGAGCGAAGAAGUAUUUCGGUAUGUAAAGCUCUAUCAGCAGGGAAGAAAAUGACGGUACCUGAGGAAGAAGCCCCGGCUAAAUACGAGCCAGCAGCCGCGGUAAUACGUAGGGAGCAAGCAUUAUCCGGAUUUACUGGGGGUAAAGGGGGCGUAGUCGGCGAGGCAAGUCUGAUGUGAAAUACCGGGGCCCAACCCCGGGGCUGCAUUGGAAACUGCGUGGCUGGAGUGCAGGAGAGGUAGGCGGAAUUCCUAGUGUAGCGGUGAAAUGCGUAGAUAUUAGGAGGAACACCAGUGGCGAAGGCGGCUUGCUGGACGGUAACUGACGCUGAGGCUCGAAAGCGUGGGGAGCAAACAGGAUUAGAUACCCGAGUAGUC
rnacentral:rRNA from 1 species